CUCUUCUGUGUGAACUAUGAGCCAUCUACCAAGAUUCAGACACACAAUCACCACAUUCAAACCUAUUGGAGAUUAAAGCUGAAGAAAACCCUGAAGUCCUUGAAGGACAAAGUGGAUAUCUUUAAAAAGUAAUCAAACAUCAGAUCACAUUAAAGCUCAGGACAAAGACACAAACAGGCAGAUUAGGAGCAGUUUGAGAAGCUGCACAUAUUGGUGACAAAGGAAGCCAGAUCUGGAAGGGAGUCAGGAGUUUCAUGAAAAACAGAGCCACAGAGCAGCUCAGAGAUGGAGACAUCUCAUUCCACCAAAAUACACCCCCUGGUGGCUGAUCCACAGCUGGGCUCAGGAGGUUUGAUGAGGCCAAACAUCUGGGAAACUUGACCACAAACCUGAGAUGAUUCUGGAGCCAAGCAUCUGUGGUCUAACUCCCCUGCUGUCUGAAGACUGAACCCAUGAGGAACCUGAACAACUGCAUCCUGAAAGUACCUUCAGUGUCUGUGGGUGUUUCACAGCAAUGCGGUGCUCACCUUUGUUGCGGCGAUAGAAGAUGCUAGGAAGACGGUUGGAGCGUUUGAGGUAGAAAAAGGAGGCAACAGACAGAAUCAGGAAUAGGCUGAUAAACAAGGUUCCCAAAAGAAGAGAAGCAGCCACGCCUGGACCGCCUGCUCACCAAAGUGCAACAAAACAAGAAACAGUUGGUAAAAGCAGCAAAUAUAUAACAGACUGCUUAAGAUUUUCUAAACAAUGAUGUGUAUUUCUUCACAAGAACAUGGUAACACACUGAAGAAAUUAACAUAGCAUAUUCAAAUUAAGCAGUAAUAAGUUGAUUUCUUACCAAUUUUGGGAAGGAAAGUAGUUACUGUUGUAUGAUUUUUCUUGUCCACAGUGUAGUCUAGUAAACACAAUAAAUAGCAAACAAAAAUGUUAUAAAAUGCAA